rnacentral:lncRNA from 1 species
GUUCUCUAGCAACAAGCAUCCAAAUUGGUGAUCCUUCACUCAUGGUCGUCUCUAAUUCUUUAGCACCUAUCAGAUUGAGGCUUUUCUUCUUGAGAUUUUCUUUUGGUCCAUCGCCUAUCUUUCUAUUAGUAGCCUUAGGUGGGAAAGGAUUAAUCGUGAUCUUCUUACCCUGAUGAGUAAAGCUACAGGAGUUGGUACAGUCAUAAAUCAUAACAUCAUUAUCGAAUAGCCAAGGCUGACCUAAUAUGAUACUUCCAACUUCCAUGGGUAAGACAUCGCACCAUACAUGAUCCUGAUAGGAAUGAAGCUGGAUGGGUACACGGCAUCUAAAUUUGAU